UACGAAGGGGGCUAGCGUUGUUCGGAAUUACUGGGCGUAAAGCGCGCGUAGGCGGCUUUGCAAGCCAGAGGUGAAAUGCCUGAGCUUAACUUGGGAAUUGCCUUUGGGACUGCGAGGCUUCGAGGACGGGAGAGGUGAGUGGAAUUCCCAGUGUAGAGGUGAAAUUCGUAGAUAUUGGGAAGAACACCGGUGGCGAAGGCGGCUCACUGGCCCGUUUCUGACGCUCAAGCGCGAAAGCGUGGGGAUCAAACAGG
rnacentral:rRNA from 1 species